rnacentral:rRNA from 1 species
GCUGGCGGCACGCCUAACACAUGCAAGUCGAACGAAGUAGCAAUACUUAGUGGCAGACGGGUGAGUAACAUGUGGGUAUCUACCCUUUGGCCUGGAAUAACACGAGGAAACUUGUGCUAAUACUGGAUAAGUCUUUACGGAGAAAGCUUUAUGCACCAUUGGAUGAGCCCGCACUUGAUUAGUUUGUUGGUGGGGUAAUGGCCUACCAAGACUGUGAUCAAUAGCUGAUUUGAGAGGAUGAUCAGCCACAUUGGGACUGAGACACGGCCCAAACUCCUACGGGAGGCAGCAGUGGGGAAUCUUGCACAAUGGAGGAAACUCUGAUGCAGCGAUGCCGCGUGAGUGAAGAAGGCCCUUGGGUUGUAAAGCUCUUUCGUCGGGGAAGAAAAUGACUGUACCCGAAUAAGAAGGUCCGGCUAACUUCGUGCCAGCAGCCGCGGUAAUACGAAGGGACCUAGCGUAGUUCGGAAUUACUGGGCUUAAAGAGUUCGUAGGUGGUUGAAAAAGUUGGUGGUGAAAUCCCAGAGCUUAACUCUGGAACUGCCAUCAAAACUUUUCAGCUAGAGUUUGAUAGAGGAAAGCAGAAUUUCUAGUGUAGAGGUGAAAUUCGUAGAUAUUAGAAAGAAUACCAAUUGCGAAGGCAGCUUUCUGGAUCAUUACUGACACUGAGGAACGAAAGCAUGGGUAGCGAAGAGGAUUAGAUACCCUCGUAGUCCAUGCCGUAAACGAUGUGUGUUAGACGUUGGAAAUUUAUUUUCAGUGUCGCAGCGAAAGCGAUAAACACACCGCCUGGGGAGUACGACCGC